AACGAACGCUGGCGGCAGGCUUAACACAUGCAAGUCGAACGGGUGUAGCAAUACAUCAGUGGCAGACGGGUGAGUAACACAUGGGAACCUUCCUAGGGGUACGGAACAACUCAGGGAAACUUGAGCUAAUACCGUAUACGUCCGUGAGGAGAAAGAUUUAUCGCCCUUAGACGGGCCCGCGUCGGAUUAGGUAGUUGGUGGGGUAACGGCCUACCAAGCCUACGAUCCGUAGCUGAUCUGAGAGGAUGAUCAGCCACACUGGGACUGAGACACGGCCCACACUCUUACGGGAGGCAGCAGUGGGGAAUCUUGGACAAUGGGCGAAAGCCUGAUCCAGCCAUGCCGCGUGAGUGAAGAAGGCCUUAGGGUUGUAAAGCUCUUUUGCCAGGGACGAUAAUGACGGUACCUGGAGAAUAAGCCCCGGCAAACUUCGUGCCAGCCGCCGCUGUAAAAC
rnacentral:rRNA from 1 species